GGUGAAUGACAAGCCUUUAGCUGCACUUCAGCAAUAUCCUUGUUUGGGCCUGCAAGAAGUAUCAACAAUGAAAGUCAUUGUGUGUGUGAUCAUGGCAAUGCUUCUUACCAAUUCAUGCCCAUGUGUGCUUUCAAGGAACAACGAAGGGAAUGCAAUGCACGUGAAGAACAUGCGCAAACUGACUUCUAUUUCUAUUGAUGCUGGAAGGAGUACCCCUGCUGGUGAGGAAAUACAUCAUGUGUGUUCACUGGGGAACUACCCCUGCCAAGGGAUGUUCCAGAGUUCGAAGGAGAGCACAGAAGGUGGAGGAAACUAACUCCCGCUAUUAUCAUGGAAAAAUAACUGAAGAUAAGUAAUAGUGUGAGAUCAUGUAUGUGCUUGUUAUGUAUCUUUUAUCUUGUUUUGAAGACUUAAUGUUCAAGUAAGUGUAUAUUGUACUUCUGAAAUUAUUAUAUUUAUAAAUAAGAGUCUUAACAACUCUUAUGCAA